CUCUAUCUGCUGCCUGGAGAAGGAGAAGAGGCUAUGAGGAAACAAGAGUGGAAACAGGAUGACGAUUCAGAGGCUAUUUGCAAUUGUCCAGGACACAGAUACAGUUAGAGCAGUAAUGAUGGACAUGAGCAUAGAUAUAAUUUCCUGUGUGGCACUCAAUAUCUCCAAGACCUAGGAUACUCCUUGAGAGGUAUGGUACUAUUUUGAGAACCACAGGAAUGCAUUUUUGUGGCAGACGAUUCCACAUGGAGUAUGAACAUUUUUCAGCUAGAAGUUUAUACCUUUAGAAGAAGACAUUGUUACACUGUUCUGUUUACCUUUUUCAAUAAAAUGUAAGAUUCACUUGAGGGCUCUCCCAGUUAAUUUUUAAAUUAUUUUGCCCUACUCUAGAAUAGGUUUUCGAAUUAAACUU